CGUCGAUUAGCAAUGGAAGUUCGUUACCUGGUGUCGACAGGACAAAUCACUUCUUUGAAUGGAGAUUCAACUCAUAUUGAUGAUGACCAUGAGUUGAAGUAGGGUCUUCAACAAUUUUGUAAGGCCAACCCAUAUUCACUUAGGUCGUUGGGAGGCUGUCAUGAAAUUCGGUUGGCCGG